CUGCACAACAGCCGCAUAAAAGAAUUUAAAAAAGAAAAAUCAUUGCAAGGAACUAAAUACAAAACCAGACAUAAUUAUACGUUAAUCAAUGCUUACAGCGAGUUCUUGAAGGAGGGUUUGCGAAUCGGGUUGAAGGGACUUGGGGGAGUCUGAUUCAGUGAGAGCGAACAAGACAGUGAGAGGUUUUGAGCUUGAGAGAAAGGGUUUUGCGGAGACUUUGAGAGGAGGGAUAUAAUGAGUAUUUUGAUGGAAAAGAAGGGUAUUAUGGGAAGUGGAAGAUAGAGAGUUGAGAGGUUGCAGUUGCAGGAGAAGAAGAGAAGAAGAAGCCAUUGAUUUUUCCUUUGCAGUUUUGGACGUUAACUGAACCCUCCUGUAUUAUUUCGAAAUUUGAUACGCUUAAAAUCAACGAUAAUAUGAAAAAAAUAAGAAGUGGUGACCCCACAAGGAAAUGUUUCGGAUAAGGUGUAUAUUUGGAGCCGUCUGAUUGCACUGCUUGCUUGCUUGCUGAUUUCACUCUGUGUAUAUUUUUAAUUUCAAAUUUAUAAAAAGAAAUUUGUCCUCCUUAUUAAAUUUCAUUUUUCAAUUUUCAAUUACAGAAUUUGAAAAAGCAUAUUCUGCAAGGGAUAUUUUCCAUUUAAUUAUGCUAACGAUUCUAUAAAAAUGUAACUUUGGAAAAGGAAGAAGACAGGGUCCGCCGUAUUAGCUAUUGCUACUAAUUUUUUUCACAAUUUUAACUCUUAAAAAGUUAUUACAUGUGAUAUAACUAUACCGAUUAUAACUAUAUUUGACAUAGCACAGCAUAUCUGAUAUACAAGCUCUCAAGGCAUCAAUACAGAGGCUCCCAGCAGAGCUAUAUUUGAUCAGGUUGGGUUGGGUGAAAAAACCUUCGCAAAACUUUGCAGAGAUGUCUAGUCACUUCAAAAGUUUCAGAAAAUCGGCGGCACAAGUCCGAUCAUUACAUGAAAAUUUUCAUUUCCUCAGUUCUAUGACAAGAAAAGUUGUAAAUGUUGAAGAGUCCACCUCCAUGUAGCAAACAAAUGGUCUGAUUUUGUUGACCAAUCUAGAACACCUGAAUGAAAAUUUUUAUGGGCACUCUUGAAGCCCCUGCACACUGCUGUACCGUACAUCCGCCUUGGCCGUACAGCAGUAUUUCCUCUCCUGUUAUCAUUCAUCAUUAACAACCUUUAAUGAGGUUUUGUUCAUAUUGUACAAAAAAUCAUGUAAUACUUCAUUCAUAUAGUAGAUUGGAGAUGCGAUGCUUGUGUAGAUGUAGGCCAAAGGAUUAUACCACGUAAAAUCUUGUGUGUUCUAUUAUGAUGAUUUUGUUGCCCAAAUUGUAUUUCAUGUAUGAGCUCACCUAAUUUACCUCAGCUACGUGAGUAUCCUUAAGCACACCUAAGCUACUCUUUAAUUUAAUUCAGCUCCCCAUAUUAACUCGCUAAAUUAACUCCCACGAACUCUAUUGGACGCUCCAUAUUAUUCCCCAUAUGAUCACCUCAUCUCAUCUGCCAAAUCACCUCAUCAAAUAUUUACCCUAAACCAUUAAAAAAAAAAAAAACCUAAACUUUUAUUAGCUCAAUCUCCUCCUAAAUAUAAAUUUAUUUGUUUGAAUCAGAUUUGAGAUAGAUCCUGUGAGAACCAUCCAAUUGGUUCAAAUCAGAUCCUAGUGAAAAUUCAGUUAAAAACAUUAUAGUAAAGUUAAUCAAUAAACAAAUAGGAUCAGUAGUUCUUAGUUCUGCAUUUGCUAUAAAAACCUCAAUUAAACAUUAACCAACAAAGAAAACAACUAACCUCAUCGACGACCGGCCCAUUUGAAAGAUCAAAAGCGGCGUCGUUUAGCUACAGACACACCAAUACAAACAAAAAUAAAUACCAUCUCAAUUUUCAUAAAAAAUAUUAGCCCUAAACACUGUAUAAAUAAACAGACUUACAUCAAGCCGAAGAUCACGUGGUAGCUGAGCUAAGUAAUCUGAUGGAAGAUCAAAAGAAUCCUGCACAACAGCCGCAUAAAAGAAUUUAAAAAAGAAAAAUCAUUGCAAGGAACUAAAUACAAAACCAGACAUAAUUAUACGUUAAUCAAUGCUUACAGCGAGUUCUUGAAGGAGGGUUUGCGAAUCGGGUUGAAGGGACUUGGGGGAGUCUGAUUCAGUGAGAGCGAACAAGACAGUGAGAGGUUUUGAGCUUGAGAGAAAGGGUUUUGCGGAGACUUUGAGAGGAGGGAUAUAAUGAGUAUUUUGAUGGAAAAGAAGGGUAUUAUGGGAAGUGGAAGAUAGAGAGUUGAGAGGUUGCAGUUGCAGGAGAAGAAGAGAAGAAGAAGCCAUUGAUUUUUCCUUUGCAGUUUUGGACGUUAACUGAACCCUCCUGUAUUAUUUCGAAAUUUGAUACGCUUAAAAUCAACGAUAAUAUGAAAAAAAUAAGAAGUGGUGACCCCACAAGGAAAUGUUUCGGAUAAGGUGUAUAUUUGGAGCCGUCUGAUUGCACUGCUUGCUUGCUUGCUGAUUUCACUCUGUG
rnacentral:lncRNA from 1 species